rnacentral:lncRNA from 1 species
AAGUGCUCUGCACUGUUCAUUUCAGCUGAAAGUGCUCUGCACUGUUCAUCCAAAGUGCUCUGCACUGUUCAUCCUUUUCGCAAGAAAAGAGAAGGCCGACGCUGAAAAUCGCAUCUCGCCGCUGCUGGGUUCCCGCCCACUACACGGCGCGCAGCUUUCGCAUCUCGCCACCGCUGGGUUCAUCUGCUAUUAGAGAGAGAGAGAAGUCAUCGCUACAGGAGCAGCAAGGGUUUGGGAAUUGGGUUUGCAGCAGCAGCCGCUGCUCCCUUCUCGUUCCAGUCAGCCCGUCGCUGCCGCAAGAUCCGCGACGCCGACGACGUCGCGCGACCUCGCCUGACGAAGCCCGCUGCUCGUCAGCACGNNN